CGCUGGCGGCGUGCCUAAUACAUGCAAGUCGAACGGUCUUUCUAUGGAAGCUUGCUUCCACUGAGAAGAUAGUGGCGAACGGGUGAGUAACACGUGGGUAACCUGCCCAUAAGAGGGGGAUAACAUCCGGAAACGGGUGCUAAUACCGCAUAGUUUUCUUGAUCGCAUGAUCGGGAAAGGAAAGACGGCCUUUGUGCUGUCGCUUAUGGAUGGACCCGCGGCGUAUUAGUUAGUUGGUGAGGUAACGGCUCACCAAGACGAUGAUACGUAGCCGACCUGAGAGGGUGAUCGGCCACAUUGGGACUGAGACACGGCCCAAACUCCUACGGGAGGCAGCGGUAGGGAAUCUUCCGCAAUGGACGAAAGUCUGACGGAGCAACGCCGCGUGAGUGAAGAAAAGGUUUUCGGAUCGUAAAACUCUGUUGUCAGAGAAGAACAAGUUGGAGAGUAACUGCUCCAGCCUUGACGGUAUCUGACCAGAAAGCCACGGCUAACUACGUGCCAGCCGCUGC
rnacentral:rRNA from 1 species